CGGUUCAAAAAAUUAAAAAAAUUAAUAGCAAUCAAGGUUGUAAUAUUUUAUUUUACACAAAACAGGUGGGUACAGCGAAACAUAAUCACUGCAAGCGCAACUGCGACCACCGCAAUUGUUAGACAAGCGCUUACAAGCACAAUGUCUCGUGCUCUAGCAUCAGCAAUAACUGCUCCAUGCUCAAGAACAGCAAAUUCAGUACCCAACCACCCCGGUCUGAACAUCCUGCAUCUGGCAAUCGGCCAAACAUUCUCAACAUUAAGUCGAUCUAACCACAGCAGUACCACAUUAAAUCCAGCAUCAGCCAACAACUUCAUAAAAGAACCAUAUUACAAUUACAGCGCAGAACCCACAAAUCAACAAUCUUGAUCGCUACCGGUUCCUGCCUUAAAACCAAUUCCAACAGUUUCAUCAAAAGCAACAAACUUCCAUCAUGACAGGAAACACAACGCAACUGAAAUAAGUGAUAUGUGGUGAUCAUAUCUCCAAACGUUUGCCUCUAACUUAUCCAACAUCCACGAUGUGUUUAAUUAAAAGGAGCUAUUUCAUGUACGGUGGACCCUUCAGGAAAUAUUGUUUAUCAGCCCAUUGUUUCUCACCAGCGGUUGUCCUGAUUUAACGUAAUCCCAACAUUUGUUGCUACCAGCUCCUUGCAUAAAAAUAUCCCUGCCUUGACAGUGUCCGUGAUUCAACCAUCCCAAAAGCAGCAAGCAAUCUCUAUUCCAGUGCUUAUUGCCAAGAUUGCACAAGUUCAGCAGCAGCACCACCUUCAACAAUAACAGCAGAAAAUUUUCCUAGGCGACAACCAUCAUCCUACAGGUCGGUAAUAAUAACUUUCAAACGACGGUUCUACCUCAGGGUUUGACGCUAAUUAAACAAUCUGGACCGCAACUAGUGCAAACGAUCCAAACCAAUCAACGAAAACGUAGAUGAUCAUUGGCCAACAGCAGAAACAACUACAAAACAGAAUUAUCACCCAAAUUCAGCCUUAAAACCCGAACGUAAAUUCUAUUUGCUUUAAACACUUAAAAUCCUGAUGAAGAAGAAAUGCUAAUGUUAUUACGCGCACACAUACCUUCUAUGUGUCAACUGUAUAAACUAUGUAUGCACACACAUAAGUUAUAAUGCAACAUAUUAUGUGCGUAUUGUUAUAGAAUCAAGUUUUAUGUGCCUUAUAGUUAUGAAAUGUGAAUGUAAGAUUAAUAUGGAAACGGAAGAGAGGCAUCACAUUUUGAUCAAAGCGUAGGCUUCCAUAAAUUUCCGCCGGAUUUGAAGUUGCGAAAAGUUUGGAGGGAAUUCGUUGGCGUAGCCGUCUCCAAGUUUUGCUGGCGGAGAAAAUAUAUCUACCCGGAACACUUCUUGCACUCGAGCUGAUCGAGGAAAACGGUACGACGAAACUACUAGACGGAGCAACCAGAGCAAAUACCAAUCCACACAUAACCCAACAGCAGCAACAAGGUACCAUGGUCAUCAUCCAGCAUCAGAACGCGAUGGUAGUGAAUCAACAGUUAGCACAACAGCAAGGUAGCUUGGAAAGAACUUUCUGUCGAAAAAAAACAUAAUGAAAGCGCACAUAUUCAAACGAGGCAAACGUAUGACUCGUUUGGAAAAAGCGCAUGUCAUCUGUUUCAUGGCGUGUAAUCGGGACAACCCUCGAACUAAUCCGGAAAAUGUCACCGUUAAGCUGAUCGAGAGCCAGGUAAUGUCGCAAACCAGUUCAAUAUUGAUCAACCUGACCAACAAAUCGUACUGAUUUUCGCUCCUUCGCGUAGAAAAUGGUUCUGCAGGUAGACGACACGUAUACGUUGCGUCUGCCCCAGUCGUUCUUUAUUGUUUUCGGAAGAAUUUUGUUUAGUGUUCCGGUGCAUGGUAAAUGAAGCCUCUGAAUCUGAAAAUAAAAUUU